rnacentral:rRNA from 1 species
AACCCAGUGUGAUUCGUCACACUAUCAUUAACUGAAUCCAUAGGUUAAUGAGGCGAACCGGGGGAACUGAAACAUCUAAGUACCCCGAGGAAAAGAAAUCAACCGAGAUUCCCCCAGUAGCGGCGAGCGAACGGGGAGGAGCCCAGAGCCUGAAUCAGCAUGUGUGUUAGUGGAAGCGUCUGGAAAGGCGCGCGAUACAGGGUGACAGCCCCGUACACAAAAGCGCAUGUGCUGUGAGCUCGAUGAGUAGGGCGGGACACGUGGUAUCCUGUCUGAAUAUGGGGGGACCAUCCUCCAAGGCUAAAUACUCCUGACUGACCGAUAGUGAACCAGUACCGUGAGGGAAAGGCGAAAAGAACCCCGGCGAGGGGAGUGAAAAAGAACCUGAAACCGUGUACGUACAAGCAGUGGGAGCACAGGUUUACCUGUGUGACUGCGUACCUUUUGUAUAAUGGGUCAGCGACUUAU